rnacentral:rRNA from 1 species
GACGUAGGAGGCGAGCGUUGUCCGGAUUCAUUGGGCGUAAAGAGCACGCAGGCGGUUGGCAAGUCGGAUGUGAAAACCGUAACGCUACAUCGAUCGGUCCGCUGGCACUCCGAAACUGCCCGACUAGAGGUAGGUAGGGGAGAUCGGAAUUCCUGGUGUAGCGGUGAAAUGCGCAGAUAUCAGGAGGAACACCGGUGGCGAAGGCGGAUCUCUGGGCCUUACCUGACGCUCAGGGUGCGAAAGCUAGGGGAGCGAACAGG